rnacentral:sRNA from 1 species
AGUCCCAGCUGCGCGCGCCCCCCAGUCCCGCACCCGUUCGGCCCAGGCUAAGUUAGCCCUCACCAUGCCGGUCAAAGGAGGCACCAAGUGCAUCAAAUACCUGCUGUUCGGAUUUAACUUCAUCUUCUGGCUUGCCGGGAUUGCUGUCCUUGCCAUUGGACUAUGGCUCCGAUUCGACUCUCAGACCAAGAGCAUCUUCGAGCAAGAAACUAAUAAUAAUAACUCCAGCUUCUACACAGGUGAGGGACGGGGAAGGCUCAGUGAAUUCAGACCCUGGCUCCAACAAAGUUCCUGCAACUUUGGAGGCCCCAUGUUGACCCAGGGACUUGGGCUUGGGAAAGACUUUUGCUCUAGCCACGCUGUUCAGUCGUGUCCCUUUCAGGUUGUGCAGUUUUUGUGUGUGUCGUUGUGCCUGGGAAUUUGCGUUUAACUGAUGUGGUU